UCCUGUGUUUUGUUUGUUAAAGUUGAGAUGCUCGAGGCACUGCGUGUCAAGCUUUCCUCAGAAGCUGGUGCGGUAGUUGUUUCCCCAAAGGAAGUUCAGAAAUAGAAAACCUGAUGAAGAUGAUACGUAGUUAGAGAUGUUUAACAAUGUGGCAGUCACUUAGAGGAGAAAUACUUUCUAACAGUAUAUUCUUUUUAAAAAUUUUAGAUCUUUCUUCCAGUACCCAAGGGGAAAUUUCAGUGCAGUCAUGUUCCCUGUCAACUUGAAAGAACCAUAGAAGGGCUGAAACUUUCCUUUAAGAGUAAUCCAGCAAGAGCCCAUAUUUCUCUGAUGGAGAAAAACAUGGAUCACAUAACAUCAACUUUAAAGAAAACACAUACACAACCUGAGAACACCAGAUCCUGUCCAAUGAGAGACCUGCCCCAACAGACAGCCCUGAAGCACUUCAUGAGUUACUUCCAGAAGGUGCACGAGAACUGCUGGGAGUCCUGAUGACAGGUGUUGGCACCCCAAAUACUUGGAGACAACUAGACCCAACACUAGAGUUGGUUCUGAUGGAAGACAGAGCACCAGGAAGAGACACCACAAUGUUAACAUGAAUGUUUCAUGUAUGAAUUAUCAGAUAUUUAUGCCUUAUUGCAAGUAUUAAUGUAUUUAUUUAAUUUAUAGAGACCUUUUAUAUUUGUGCACAGUCCUAGUAUUCAAAGUGAUAAUGAGUAAAAGAACUUAAAAGUAUUAAUUAUAUUGUGGAGGUUAUGCACUAUAAUAACUAGAGUAUAAGUCAAGGCUAUAUAAGUGAAAUAAAAAAAUAUACAGAUUAAGCAUCAGAUCCAUUGAUGUGCUCUUCUGUAGGCACUUACAAAAUUGUCGAAUACUUAUCAUCUGAAAGCAGGAAUAAAAAGGAGAGAAGGCUGUCUUUUCAAUAUGUGCAUAAUUAAGUUUGAGAACAAUUGUUUCCCUGUAAUUCUACAACAUAAUUGCAGUACAGUAUACCUGCAUGAUACACACUCUUUAUUUAAUUAAUAUAUUCAGUGUGCGAGCAGAUCAUAUUUAUUUUAAUAUUACUCCAAAUUUAUUUUCAACCCAUGGUAUCUUCAAAUUUUGUA